AAAUAUAAGGCGUAUAAUUUUUGUUUACGGUCUUUUUUUUAGAAACACAGUACAAGCGCAGACGCUCACAACACGCGCGUGACCUCGCCCAUUAGGAUGCAUCGGGUGCAAUCGAGAGCGCGGUAAAAGCACACGCAUGUGUAAGUUCUUUUUCUGUAAAUUAGCGACCCGAUUCCUCAAUUUUAUCUUGCUUCCACUAAAUCCUUUUUUUCUUGAUCCUCCGAAAGCAAACCGAUCGAGAGCGUAUCAUGUAGUAGGUGGGACGGGACGACAACUGAACCAUUGGCCGGGCGAGCGUCUGAACCAGGUGGGGUGGUGGAGCAAAAGGAGGAAGCGGGGAAUGAUGCGGCGGUCGGAAAGGAAGGAAAGCAGUCGCGCGUGCCGGGAGAGAGCACGAGAUGUUCCUUUUUGCUACUGCUCCAGGCUCCAGCUAGCUCUUGGGGACCCCUGCACCACUUCCGGCACAACAAACUUGGACAGGAGGAUUAUAUAUAUACGUAGUACCUGCGGGGCUGCAGCUGUGGGUCGAUCCUUCCUUGUAAAUUAACUGCAAACGAUGCAAGGGAACCGGCUGCAGAUCCUCGUCGGCCUCGCCGCCCUUCUCCUCGCGGCAUUCGCCACCCCGGCCAGCAGCGCCGCCGUUGUUGGCUCGUACGACAGCAGCGGCCGGGCCGUCAUCAGCCACGCCGCUGCUCGUGCCAACACGGCGGCGGCGGUGGCAGGGGCGUUGAUGAGGCGCCGGGUGGAGGACUCGGUGGCGCCGGAGCCGAUGAUGGGCAGCCAUCUCCUCCUGGGGAAGGGCGUCAGCGAAAGCGCCCUCGACAAGAACCACCAGGCGUGCACGGGGCCGUGUCCCGCCGCGGGAGGACCCUACACCCGGCCCUGCACGUACAAGGAACGUUGCCCGCCCUGAUGAUCGCUGGAUCAGUGAUCAUAUGCUGGGCUGCUUCCCUCGUAUCAGCCCAAGACGAUCGAGAUACCGCAUGUGUUGAGGGCUUUGAGGUACAUCGACGGAGAAGCAAGACAUGCAUGGUUGAGGUAGGGAUUAACGUUGUAAAGUCUGGACGUGGAUUUAAGCUUCUCGCUCGUCGCCUUGUGCAGUACUGCCUUCGGUCCAGGUUUACGAGCCGCACGAACUUUUAUGCCGAGCUUUUGCCAAUAAUUAUACAAAUAUUAUUUAGUUAUGUCAUUGUCAUUAGAAAGUGUUUAUAGCAGGGUGAAUUCCAUUUUUACGCCAUAUC